rnacentral:rRNA from 1 species
CUACGGGGCGCUGCAGUGAGGAAUAUUGCACAAUGGGGGGAACCCUGAUGCAGCAACGCCGCGUGGAGGAUGACGCAUUUCGGUGUGUAAACUCCUUUUAUAUGUCAAGAAAAUGACGGUAGCAUAUGAAUAAGCACCGGCUAACUCCGUGCCAGCAGCCGCGGUAAUACGGAGGGUGCAGGCGUUACUCGGAAUCACUGGGCGUAAAGGACGCGUAGGCGGGUUGGAAAGUCAGGUGUGAAAUCCUACAGCUUAACUGUAGAACUGCACUUGAAACUUCUAAUCUAGAGUAUGGGAGGGGGAGAUGGAAUUAGUGGUGUAGGGGUAAAAUCCGUAAAUAUCACUAGGAAUACCUAAAGCGAAGGCGAUCUCCUGGAACAUUACUGACGCUAAGGCGUGAAAGCGUGGGGAGCAAACAGGAUUAGAUACCCCCGUAGUC